UACAGAGGGUGCAAGCGUUAAUCGGAAUUACUGGGCGUAAAGCGCGCGUAGGUGGUUCGUUAAGUUGGAUGUGAAAUCCCCGGGCUCAACCUGGGAACUGCAUCCAAAACUGGCGAGCUAGAGUAUGGUAGAGGGUGGUGGAAUUUCCUGUGUAGCGGUGAAAUGCGUAGAUAUAGGAAGGAACACCAGUGGCGAAGGCGACCACCUGGACUGAUACUGACACUGAGGAACGAAAGCCAGGGGAGCAAACGGG
rnacentral:rRNA from 1 species